GAAUUAUAUUAGAGGACGUGCUUUAUUCACUUUAGUUGGGGUUUCAUCCAGUUUUCUAGGGCGUGGAGGGAUGGAAGGUGCUAGGUGGUGGUUGGUUAUAAUUGGAGAGCUGGGUCAAAGGGAAACAUACACACGCACACUAUACAACAUACAUAUGCUGCUUCAGUUAGUUCAUGUGGAAAUAAGUAACGGAUUAAGUUUUAGAAAUUAGAAUUGGUAGCUAAGGUGUUCAUGAAUAUGACUGUAUCCUAGGCAGCUUUUCAGUUUUAUAUUUCUACCAAUUUAUUGGGCACUUCAUCAAAUCUUUUACAUGAUAUUGAUGGCAAACUUUUUACAUGAUUAAUUUUGGGUUGAGAAGCUUUUAAUUGACAGUAGGGGUGUGCGAAUC
rnacentral:misc_RNA from 1 species